UCAACCACCAUCUCCACCACUAGGCCAGCUGAGUUACUCCAGCCGUUCACUCACCAUCAUCAACCUUCUUCUUCCCUUCCCUUCCUCUGUUCCAAUUCUGCUUCCUAGCACCACCAUCACUCUUGCAGCCACUCUAUCGCCUAACCCACCAGCUGAAGGUGGAGGUGACACAGUGACGACUCCUUCCACUCCGCAUGAUCGUGAGCA